UACGUAGGUCCCAAGCGUUGUCCGGAUUCACUGGGCGUAAAGCGCGCGCAGGCGGCCCUGCAAGUCGGAUGUGAAAGCCCCGGGCUCAACUCGGGGAGGCCAUCCGAAACUGCGAGGCUUGAAGUCGGAAGAGGGGAGUGGAAUUCCCGGUGUAGCGGUAAAAUGCGUAGAUACCGGGAGGAACACCAGUGGCGAAAGCGGCUCCCUGGUCCGAUCUUGACGCUCAGGCGCGAAAGCUAGGGGAGCGACCGGG
rnacentral:rRNA from 1 species